UCUGUAAAAUAGUGUAUGAAUAAUUAAUGAGGACUUAUUUGGGUGUGUAUAUUGUCUAGAAGACAAUAUUUGUAUUCAAACUCACAGUUGUAUUGUCGUAUUCUACACGACAUCUGUAUUGUCAAAGUUGUAGUUUGCUUUCUAUACCAUGUAUUUUGGCGACUCAGAAUGGGUGUUGUAUACCUAUUUUGGGGGCGUCACAUUAUCCUUCUACUUUUAAGAUCGAUAAAAGUUGUCAAUUAAGCCUGCCAUGUCACAACAAAUUGGUCAAGUAUGUAAUAGGUUUCUUAAACUUAAGGGAAUUUUGUACCUUUAGGAC
rnacentral:lncRNA from 1 species